GAUGAACGCUGGCGGCGUGCCUAAUACAUGCAAGUCGAGCGAACGGACGAGAAGCUUGCUUCUCUGAUGUUAGCGGCGGACGGGUGAGUAACACGUGGAUAACCUACCUAUAAGACUGGGAUAACUUCGGGAAACCGUAGCUAAUACCGGAUAAUAUUUUGAACCGCAUGGUUCAAAAGUGAAAGACGGUCUUGCUGUCACUUAUAGAUGGAUCCGCGCUGCAUUAGCUAGUUGGUAAGGUAACGGCUUACCAAGGCAACGAUGCAUAGCCGACCUGAGAGGGGGAUCGGCCACACUGGAACUGAGACACGGUCCAGACUCCUACGGGAGGCAGCAGUAGGGAAUCUUCCGCAAUGGGCGAAAGCCUGACGGAGCAACGCCGCGUGAGUGAUGAAGGUCGUCGGAUCGUAAAACUCUGUUAUUAGGGAAGAACAUAUGUGUAAGUAACUGUGCACAUCUUGACGGUACCUAAUCAGAAAGCCACGGCUAACUACGUGC
rnacentral:rRNA from 1 species